AACGAACGCUGGCGGCAUGCCUAACACAUGCAAGUCGAACGAGACCUUCGGGUCUAGUGGCGCACGGGUGCGUAACGCGUGGAAACCUGCCCUUAGGGUCGGAAUAACUCCCCGAAAGGGGUGCUAAUACCGGAUAAUGUCUUCGGACCAAAGAUUUAUCGCCUUUGGAUGGGCCCGCGUAGGAUUAGCUAGUUGGUAGGGUAAAGGCCUACCAAGGCGACGAUCCUUAGCUGGUCUUAGAGGAUGAUCAGCCACACUGGGACUGAGACACGGCCCAGACUCCUACGGGAGGCAGCAGUGGGGAAUAUUGGACAAUGGGCGAAAGCCUGAUCCAGCAAUGCCGCGUGAGUGAUGAAGGCCUUAGGGUUGUAAAGCUCUUUUACCCGGGAUGAUAAUGACAGUACCGGGAGAAUAAGCCCCGGCUAACUCCGUGCCAGCAGCCGCCGUAA
rnacentral:rRNA from 1 species